GACUGUGUCUCAAAUAAAUAAAUACAUAAAUACGGCUGAAGCCCUGUGUUUUUAUUUUAAACAUACUGCAUCUUCUGUAUAUUCAAGGAGUGCGGUUAGUAAGUGCUACUUAGAAGCCAGCCCUAGCGCUAAACUUUGGGGGUAAUGGUGGCCCAACUUCCCCUUGCAAUUCGUGGCUUCUAAAUAUCUCUGCCUCUCUUGAUUCAGUAAAACAACUAAUGUUGCAAGGCAUUUCAACUUGGUGAGCAACAAAAGGCUAUGAUGUUUUCUUUGCCCCCAAAAUGUGAAAAGCAAACUAUCUAAUCAGUAGGGACUAACUCUAUCAGUUAGUUUCUUUAUUGCACUUCAUACCCAUUGCCUGACUUUUUCCUAUUUCAAAAUUUGCCAUCAGUUUUUCCUGAAUUUGAAAACUCCUAAGAAUAGGCUCUUCUUUAUUGUUCUCCAAAUUUUCCUAGGGCAAAUAAAAUCCAUUACAGGGGGUUACAUAUGUAGAAGAGUAAAAUGGGAUCAGAAAAAUUAAAAUUUCAUGUAAGGCUCAGAAGCCAACAGCUGUACAAGUUGAGACCUGCUGGAAAGCAGUGACUCUGAAAUAAAUUCUUACUCUGUAGACGAAUAGGACUUCAGCAUGCUACAGGAUAAUGUUUUGAGCUCCUUCCAACACUAGAAACUGUUUGAAUGGGUUAUUUUUACUCUACUUAUUAUAGAGGUGGUUUAGAAAAAGCUAACCUGCAAGGGGCAAAGUGUCUUUCACCAAAGGUUGCCAGAAUCUCAAUCAAACCCAUUACCAUGGGCCGUGAAAGCACCACCUUUUCAUCACUACCAUCACAGCUGUGGUCGUGCUGUUGUUAUUGUUGAAUCUCUCUGUUCAGCUUUUUAUAAUUAUCAUAAUUCACCCUAAUGUUAUGUGAUUAGCAGCCUCUGUUGUGGUGAGAAUUACACACCACUCACAUAGCGUCUGUGACCUUUCACCCCUUGUGGAGUCGGCCAGGGCUGCAUUGGCUGGGAGACAAAGUGCAGAAACCCACAGAGCACCACCUGCACUCUCUCAGGCUGGGGGAUAAAUGGAAAAUUUUACCUUCCAACUGUAUGUGUUGCUCUCCAGGCAGCCAUAUUAUGAAAGUUCGAUUCCUCCACCUCCCUAUAAAAACUAAUUUAUUCUCAUCCUAGGAAGAUUUUUAAAGGAUUUUGUAAAGUAUUGCUUUACAGCAUUGAUACAGAAGGCAAAGUGACUCUGUUAAUACAAAGAUAAGAGUUCUUUAAUUUUAUUUGCAACAUCAUUAGAUUAAUUGUAUGUUGGACAUUCAAAGAAGAGAUUUGGGGAAUUUGAUGCCUCUUUGUUUUAGACUGAAGUCAGUACACAUGUGAUGAGACCACUGAGUGAGAACAGUUGGCAAGAAUGUACAAAUAACUAGCCAUCCUCUUUAUCUAAUGAAAUACGUUUUCUUCCAUGCUAGUGUCCUAAGCUUUGUGGAACAUUGUUAAUCAUAAACACUAUCGGAAUCUGUUAUUUAAUUUCACAGACCUUUCAGAUCAUAGCAGCAAUUGGUCAGAAUUAGAAAAUAAUUUUCAUGCAACUAAUGUAAGAUGAAAAGUAGUAAAGAGGGGAUUUAAAAAAUAUAUGAUAAAAUAGGCAUUUAUAGAAUAUUGCUAUGUACCACUUCUAUACUUUCGACAAGAUUGACAGUAUGUAGCAUGAUGAGUUAAAUUUUCUUUAGCACAGUACAAAAUCUCUGCAUUUUUUCUAAUUACCACUUCCUACAAGUCAGCGCAAAGAGGAAUAGGCUCACUUGGUUCAGCUCAAUUUCCACAGCUUGACAGGCAUUGAUAUCAAAAUUAAUUCUAAGAUGAAACUUCAUAAAAGAAAAUCCUAUUUGACAAAAAGAACUAUUGGGCUUGAAUCACAGUUGCAUUUGCAUUGUGAAAUCCCUUUUUUAUUGUAUAGGAAAUAAUGCCUAAGGAGAGAUUGAAUAUCCAGAGAGAGUUCAUUUGAGGCAUCCUGAUAGUAUCUGCCAUAUGCAAGUAAAGCAGAAGACGUUUUUAUGACAUCUUCAGAACUUGAAGAUUGAAUUACAGUUUUAGUAAUCAUCAGUUCCCCUUCUCCACUGUCACUUUUUGGUAAUAUAUUGCAUAGAAAAGACUUAUAGUACCGGUUUUAUAAGCUUGCAAUAAAAAUAUAACAACUGUUGUAUUAAAUUAUUUAAGUUGUAAACCAUUGUGAAAAAGGAGAAAAAGUUUUAUCGACAUGGAGGCUGAAAAACUGAUUAUGAUGGAGAGCAAAAUGUAUUGUACUGAUUACUCCCAAGUUUUUCCCUGGUUUAGCAUAUUGUAAAUCUUCAGGGUAUCUUUCAAAUCAAGGUCUGGGUAUGAGAAGUUCUUUUAUUUAUUGAUAAUUUAGAACUGGCCGGUGGCAAGAAAAAAAAUGGUACCUGUGUGUUUCCAGGUUACCAAUUUAUUUUAGAAGAGUUAUAAAUGCAAAUAAACUAAGUAAAAAAGAGGUAAUAUAGACUCAAGUAAAUGUUUCUUUUUGAUGAAAAGAAACCUAGUAAAUAUGAAAUAACUACAUUUACCCAGGGAAAUUUAGACUCUAGAGAUCGUCUAAUGUUUCUAGAAAUAUUUUUUUCUUACCUUAUAUUGGUUUUAUGGGCACUUAUUACCUCUACUAUUUAGCAGACUACCAUUCUGCUACUGUGUGCAAAGAUUCUAGGCUAAGAUGUUUUCUCCUCUCCAGGCGUCCUCCAUAUUCACUCCAUUGGAAAGUCUACCCUUCCAAUGUCAGACUUCUUCAAGAACUUUCUGUUAAUCAGUGCCUCCUUUCCCUUGUGUUUCUAGCCCACACUGGGAAUCUAGGUGCAUUCUCUGGCUUGCUCAGAAUGUCAGCAUCCCAUAUUUAUGCACUCACACUCUUCCUCAGUGCCCCCAGGAUUGCUGGACACUGAAACAUGGUUCAUAUCAGGCUCUACCCACCUCCCUCCUACACACACACACCUUGGCCACCCAGAAGAAAGAAGGAAUUUCCUUGACUAAAUAAUCAGAUUUUAUUUCUCUAAAGGAAAUUAGAAUAGGGAAGACACGUAUUUCUACGUGGUAAAUCGAAUCACCCAGGGGAUGCACAAUAACUGGGGGUUAGUCCAUUCUUUAGCAUGAUCCAAGACAAUAAAUCAGGCACUCUUACUUGAUGCUGUAAAUGAUUUCUCCCUCUCACCGAGGCUCAACAGCAGCAAGCUGGACAUAUUCUCACUUUGAUGGCAGUGAUAUUACUAAUAAUGUAACUUAUAGGUGUCAAGAACUGUAUGUUAUUUAAUCCUCGCAACAUCCAAAUAAAAUAAGCAUUAUUCUGAUUUUACAGAUGAAGAGAUUUAAUUCUUGUUCAAAAUCACAUAACUAAAAAGUAUUAAAAAUCAGAAUUCAAAUUAAGCACAGGGCACUUGAGGGCUUACCAACUCUACUACACUGAUAAUGUAAUGAUUCCAUCUCUAAGUCACCAUCACCAAAAGGAAAGAAUAGGAUAAGAAAGAAGUAUGGAACAUGUCAUGUUCCUCUCUGGAUUCUCCCAUGCAUUCAUUUGUCACACAUUUCUUGAGUGCAGGUAAUAUAUCAGAUUCUAUCCUUGUUCUGUAAAGAUAAAUAAUUUAUAGUCACUGCCUUUAUUAUUCAUUGGGAAGGAAAACCGGUGAAUGAUUGAAGUUCACUAUGAUGAUGUAAUUGAAAUGUAUACAAGGUGCUAUGAGGACACUGGAAAAAUUUAAAUUCCAAAGAAUUCAGUGUUUUUACUUAGUGAUGGCCUUCUCUAGGACAACAGUAAAUCCCCUAAGGGUGAAUCCAGCAGCUCUUUGUCCUCAGCUAAGACAUUCUAUGAAUGUAACUGUCUGCCUCCCGCUCCCUGGACUGAGAAGGAAGCCACUUAGCUAGGUCAACUCCACUCAUUUACCUGAAACCAAAGGAGCUUCCUCCUUCUUCCCACACCUCUAGCUUUAUGGCCAGGAGCACUCAAGUCAGUUUGGAGCAAUUUGGGUCAACAAUUUGGAAUUGGAAGAUAAUUAUCUUGGGCUACUUCCCUGACAUCUGGAAUCCAGGAAGGCAAAUUUCUUGGUUUAAUUAGAUCCCCCACACCUUCCUUUCUGAUCCCACAGCAAAGAUACUUGAAAUUAAGUAGCCACAGAUGUAUGGAUAACUAGUACCAAAGCCACCAAUUCCUGUGGGCAUGACCUCUAUCACUGAGACAUUCUGCCAAGCUGGCUUCAUUGUAUGGACAUGGCCCAGUAGUCAAGAACUAUACUGUCUUCUACACAACAUCCAAAGAUCACCAUGACCCCCCACUGAGAAUAGAUCAGAAAACACUACAUGCUUUUCAUUCUUUUUCUUGAGAUAGAGCCUCACUCUGUCACCCAGGCUGGAUUGUAGUGGUGUGAUCUCAACUCACUGCAGCCUCUGCAUCCUGGGUUCAAGUGAUUAUCCUGCCUCAGCCUCCAGGGUAGCUGGGAUUGCAGGUGCCCCCCAGAAUGCCUGGCUAAUUUUUGUAGAUUUUUAGUAGAGUCAGGGUUUCUCCAUGUUGGCCAGGCUGAUCUUGAACUCCUGACCUCAACUGAUCUGCCCACCUUGGCCUCCCAAAGUUCUGGGAUUACAGGCAUAAGCCACUGUGCCCGGCCCCCAUUCUCUCUUUUUUUUUUUUGAGACGGAGUCUCUCUGUCACCCAGGCUGGAGUGUAAUGGCACGAUCUCGGCUCACUGCAACCUCCACCUCCCGGGUUCAAGCGAUUCUGCUGCCUCAGCCUCCCAAGUAGCUGGGACUACAGGCACCCGCCACCACGCCCAGCUAAUUUUUGAAUUUUUAGUAGAGAUGGCAUUUCACCAUGUUGGCCAGGAUGGUCUCAAUCUCUUGACCUCAUGAUCUGCCCGCCUCGGCCUUUCAUGCUUUGUAUGAAUAAGAAUCAUGAACUUGCAUUCACAGUACAACAGUCACUAUAGGCACAAGUCACUAAGUUGAGCUUCCUAGAUGUACAGUUUCAUAGAAGAACCAUAUGUUUAAAAUACCUUAGUAAAGAAAACGUAGCAAAACUUUUUUUUUUUGAGUCGGAGUUUUGCUCUUGUUGCCCAGGCUGGAGUGCAAUGGCGUGAUCUCGGCACACCACAACCUCCGCCUCCUGGGUUCAAGUGAUUCUCCUGCGUCAGCCUCCUGAGUAGCUGGGAUUACAGGCAUGUGCCACCAUGCCCGGCUAAUUUUGUAUUUUUAGUAGAGACGGGGUUUCUCCAUGUUGGUCAGGCUGGUCAUGAACUCCCAACCUCAGGUGAUCCGCCCACCUCGGCCUCCCAAAGUGCUGGGAUUACAGGCGUGAGCCACCGCACCCAGCCAAGGUAGCAAAACUUAAUACAUGAUCCAACAUGGCUAGAACCUCCUUUCUUUAAUUCAGGGUAACCGGGUUUUUUUUCUUUCCUAACUAGGAGAAUGGCUAAUAUCAUUAUAGUAAAAGCCUAUUCAUUAUUCUACAAAGACAGGAAAAGAACAGGUUGUUUGGUCCUUGACAACAAAAAUCUAUGGGGCUGGAACUAGAAAACUCUUGAAAACCAGGUUGCCUGACUCACCUUGAAUAAACAAGGCUACUAAGGGCUUUUACAGGUUGAAGGCUGAAGGGAAGAGAAUCUUCAGAGGGUUUCUUUGACCUAGAGUGAUGAAAUAUGUGGCCACAGAGCAGGGCAUAUGUACUACCCUGAUCUGCCCCAUAGAUCUACCCAAUAGAUCAUUAUGGAUGCCCAGGUGGGGUUAAAAGCCUCCUAAAGACUGAGCAAGUGAAGGACAAUCAUCUAACCCAGGAACUGCCAGGGACAGUAUUUUCUUUAGGGAAGCCUGGCAAAGACCUGGGCCUGAAGUUUUUAUGUAGUGAUAAAAGAUUAGAACCUUAUAACCUACACUUUAGGGAAGACCUGAAAGGCAAACAAAGAAAGGAGUUGCACACACAUAUAUUGUCUAGAAAAUAAAUAUUUCUACAGUUUAUUCUAGAAAAGAAAGAAUAUACAAUAGCUUGGUCUAUCAGAGAUCAGCUGGUUUCAACUGCAGGAAAAUGUCAUGCAGAGAUAAAUAUUUUAUAACUAGAUACGGCAGGCCUUGAAGAUAGCAACUGCUAUUGCUUACCAUAGGAGAUUAUAAAUAUGGGCAUAGCUAUGAAUAAUAAGAUUGGUGACAAUGCAAUAAUUUUUCACCUUACAUAUACCCUCAGACAGUAGGUGCUAAUGUCUUUUAAUAUAAGGGACAAUGAAUCUAUGCAGGAGACUUAGUUGAAAGUGCUGGUUGGUUUCACACCAGCUGUCAAAUAGGCCUUUCAAAACUCCUUUAUGCAUUGGAAACAGUGACCUGGGGGUGAGAGGCUCCUAGCCCAGAAACUGAUCCCUUGAGCCAUAGAGAUCUCAAUCCCGGACGAUUGUGAUUAAUCCAUGCUGACAAACCAGAUUUGGAUCAAUAGAAAUUAUCUGUAACAAGAAACUAAUUGUGUAUUUAGUAAAUUCAUGGAAAUUUUUGGUGACUUUAAAUUUAUACGGAAAAGACCCUAUUGACUUUUGAAAUCAAAAUUCAUACCACUUUAGGGUAAUAUUGCCUUGGGUUAUAAUAAAUUAUGGUCGUCCACCUUCUCUCUUGGGUAAUAUAUGGUCUGAAGGCAUCUAAUCUGUUUCCUCUUAAACUAUGAAUAUUCUUUAAUUAUUAUUUAGAGAGACUUUAAAUCUCUAUUUACAUAAUAUAGAAAAGCACAGAACAUGUACCUCUUAUACUAUUUUCAUACGCCAUUCCUGUUUAAAUGAAGCAGCAAAUACAGCCAAUUUCAAACCAUGUUACAAUCUCAGUUCAAAUUAUGCAGUGGCUUAGAAUAGUAAAAAGAUGUCCCUAAAGUUGCAUCCUCUUCAGGGUAUCAGAGACCUCAGGUGUUAGAGAGCUGCUGAGAGGAGAAGUGGAUGAACCAAUGAACCAGUGUUGAAUUUAUAUUGUACUUUUCACACAGGAAGAUUCUCUAGGCCUUCAGUACACCUACAUGUGAAUCCAUGUGUGACGACGUCUAACUCUUUUCACUUAAUUUCCUUAUGGACCAUUUUUCUGGAAUGGAAGAUGGAAAAUUUCAGCCAGCCACAAAUGGACUGAGACUCACCAAUCUCAUUUCACAUUGAGCAGGUGUCCCAGACAGGGUUUGAAACCAAGCUACAAAGAUUUUUUUUAAAAAAAAAGAAAAAGAAAGAAAAUACUAUUAGAACUAAACAGAUGGCCCUGCAUAGGAGCUUAUGUAGUCAGCUUCAACUGGGUUUGUCUUAGUAUCCAGGAGUAAGCCCUGCCUCAUAAUUCUUUGCAAUUUAGUAUUAUUAAAAUCCUCUUUUUUGCAGAAACUGCUAACAUAUCUAAUAGAAGGACCUCACUAAUCAUUUCACUCUCAAGGAGGGAAAAAGUCUAAAGGCCAGGGCUUGAGGUCACAGGUCUAUGAGGGAAUGCUACAACGCCUGUAUUUUAUCAAAUACAGGAACUAUAAGAAGCCUUCACCUCUGAACCAGGUUGCUCUUUUUCUGGCUCCAAACAGAACUGUUCAAGCCAUUCUCUGCCUUAAAUGGGUAAAAACCCCUUUCAAUAUUCACUAGAAUCCUCUAGCAUGCCUGCAUUACUUGUAUUUAAGAUUUUAAGCAGACUAUUAGUGUUUGUUCUGAAUAGUUGUACCACUGUGCCAAGCACAUGUAGGGCAAUAGGUGAAAGGGUAAAGAGCCCUUGUUUGAUAGAAUUUACAUGCUGUGUGAGUCUAAAUUGUUUAGCUGCCUGAUAGAAGUUUUAUAAAGCCUAAAUAUCCAUAAGCUUAACAGAUAUGCAGGAGAACUAAAAAACUGCUUGUUUUAUUUCUUCAAAGGUCAUGCUUUUUUCCCAUGACAUAACAGUAAAUAGCAUGACAAAAUGCCUUCAAUAUAUCAUAAAUUUAUGGAAAAUAACCAUUGACUUCUCAGGAUAGUUUAGGAUAUAAAUACUUUGGGAUUGAUAUUGUAGAUGCUCUUCAAGUAUGAGCAAGAAAUAUUGCCAAACUCAUAAUUGUUCAAAUAAAUCAUGAAUGUGAUAUAAAUUAAAAAUUAGAAUGGUAUUAGCCACACACAGGGAAAAAAAUAGUUCUAGAACAGUGCACUUUACUCAUAAAAUAUAUUGGGUUGAAAUUGUACAAAUCUGAAAACCAUUGAGAGCAGACCUAGAUGUAACUGAAAGUCUGUUUAAUGUUGUUCUCUGAUUGUCUCCAUGUUAUAAGUUCCCUGGCUCAGUGGAACCAUCUUAUAGAUUAAAGUAAUUCCUGAGCCCGCUAGUGUGUUUACUAACUAUCCUAAUGUCACUUAAAAGAAACAACAAAGCAGAAGCAACCUUAAAAAGAUAUAACACCAAUGUUGUAGUCCCUCUUCCAGAAUAUUUAGCUAUUCUUCAAUCUAUACUACAGCCCUGACACGUCACAAAGCUCCAUUCCUGUGUGUUAUCUAGAUGUAACAUAUCUCCAGUUGAAUUUUCCUCCCUACUUCAAACCUUAUAAACCAGAGGUCAGCAAUGUAUGUCCCACAGCCAAUGCUAGUCAGCCACCUGUUUUUGUAAAUAAGGUUUUACUGAAACUCAGCUACACAUAUUCAUUUACAUAUUGUCUGUGGCUUCUUUUGCCUUACGACAGAGUCGAGUAGUAGCAACAAAGAUAUGUUGGCUCACAAAGUCAAAAAUAUUUGCUACGUGACCAUCUUCAGAAAAAAAAAAUUGUCGACCCAUUAUAAACAAAAAAACUCAGGAUCUCUUCCAAAAAAUGUGCCUCUUCUCCAUUCCUACUACAACUUUAAUUUGGGGGAUUUAUCAUGAUAUGUUCAUAUUACUGCGUGGCCUCCACUCUAGUUAUAUGCUGCCGCAUAAUAGAAUACCCCAAAACUUAGUGAAUUUAAACAACAACCGUUGUAUUAUAACUCAUCAUUUUUUGGAUGAGAAAUUUGGGCAAGGCUCAGCUGAAUGAUUCAUUAACAACAGUCAGUCAUUGGAAUUCAUCUGGUAGCUGGGCCUGUCUUGAGGGUUUAAGGCAGCUUUACUCACAUGUCUGGUGCCUUGGUGAGCAACAGCUGGACAACUGGAUUCACCUGAGCCCUUUUGCCUGCCCCAUAUUCUCUGGGCUUCUCCAGAUGAUCUUUUUCUGCAGGAUGGUUAGACUUCUCAUAUGGCAAUUCAGGACUCCAAGAUACCAAAAUGGAAUCUCCCAGUCCUCUUAAAGCCUGCUGGCACAGUGUCACUUCUUCCAUGGACCAUCUGAGAUUCAUGGGGAAAGGAAAUACACCCCACCUUUCAAGGGGAGGAAUUUCAAGGAGCUUGUGGCCAUCUUUAAUCUGUUACUACCUCCUAACUGGUCACCCUGCCUCAAAUCUUUUUUCAUACUCUGGCCAUAUAUUCCCAAAAUCUCAAUUUCAUUCUAUCUUCCCCCUUCUCAAAAACCUAAGAUGGCUUCCUCUAGCCUAUUUGGUUUAAAUUCCUCUCCCUGACAUUCAUAACUCAUUAUAUAAAAGGGUCCUACUAUAAUAAUCUUACCUAAUUUUGCAUUAGUCUCUGUUUGUUAAUCAUUAGUCUGUUUGUCUUACAUAGUCCUCGCCUUCCCCUACUCUGUUCUGUAUCACAGGGAAGCUGACCCCUGCAGGAUGUUUUUCCUAGGCUCCUUGUCAACUUCAGACUGGGCCUGGCAAAUAGGAGACAUUGGUGGGAGAUUAGGGGGUGGCAGAAGUCAAGUUAUUUCUCCUUCUCUCUGCUUCAUGCAGAUCUCUGGAAAUGAUUGCAUUUUUAUACCUCCUGUGCUCCAGAUCCAACUGGUUAAGCCUUCUCUAGUUCCAUCAUCCUCUGAGUGACCCUGGUUUCUGAGCUCCAGAAACUCUGUAUUCUCCCUUGUCAUUCCAACCAAAGCAUUGCUGACAGCUUCCUGAAGUUGCUCAUCUCUAAAUUGCUAUACUGUCUCCUGUUCAUCAUCCCAGGCUUUGAUCACCUUUAAAGUAAAUUCCCUGUAUUAAAUUCCUUCUAUUUAAACUAAACUCAAGUAGUUUCUGUUCUGAUUAGAUCCCAGCUGUUCUCAACACAAAGUAUCCACUCCAGGCUGGGCAAUUUUGUACCUGGCCCUUCAGCCCCUAUGUGCCUGUUAUGGUAUUUCUGGCCUGGACCUCUGGCCUCAUUCUUCAAAGCCCAGCUCAAGCUUCAUCUUCCUCAAAAUGCCUUUCAGCAUCACUCCAGUUUUUACUCACCUGACCCUAUCAUUCCUUGGUGACUUUCAAUGUGUCUGUUUUCCCAGUUUGUAAGUUCAUUGAGGAAGCUUGUACUUGAAUCCUAUUCCCCACAGUUCCCACCACAGUGCCAAUGCACACAAAGCACUCAAUAAAUAUUGCUUAUUUGCUUCAAUAUAAUAUCUUUUAGGUCUGACUAAUUUCUAUGAGACAUCAGGGCUAAAAUCAUCUGUACUCCUGAAUGGAGUGAAUUUAGGGAUGCUUUUUUGGGUUAGUGAUACUCUUAAGUUUUUCCCAUCCUGGAUGAACAUGUUAUAAUAGACAGGGAGAGACUAUUUUUGUUUUGCGGUGGCAGGUAGUGGCUGUUAGGCACACAGUAUAAUUCAAUGUCCUAUAUGAAGUAGAUAUCAAAUAUGAAAUGAAAAGAAAAAGCCUACACCAUAACUGAUGGAUUUGUGUGGAAAAGCCAAUGAAAAAAAUAUUUAAAUAUGACAGUCUUUUUGAUACUUUUAUAAAGUACCAUUAAUUCUGGAAUUAAAGAACAAAUAUGAUCUACAUAUAUUUAAAUAAGAUCAUAAUAAAGGAAAAUGCCACAGAAAAUAAAUAUAAAUUAAUAAAUCUAAAAUCCAGUCUUUCAUGUCUCACAUUUCUUAUGCCCUAGAUCCAUAUUUUAUUCUUUUUCCCCUGAUAACAAGUGCUGGAAACAUCAGAGAUUCAAUAAACAUUUUAAUUGUUUGAAAAUAUCUAACAGAUGAUGUUCCUGCCAUCUAGUCGCAAAAUUGUCUUAAGGGAUUAUUUUAUGCAAAAUUGUUCAAUUUGGGGGUUUUGUUUUGCAAAAUAAAAUACUAAUAAGAAAGUUUGCUACAGUAUUUACUGUUUUCAAGCCAAAAAAACAUGUUUAUUUGGGACCAGAACAUGGUCCAGUUUGAGUUCUUAAGAUCUGCUAUAACUAACUAACUCAGCUUCUAGUAUUUCAAGAUGACAUCAGAAGAAGCUCUGCCUUUUUUUGCAAAAAAAAAAAAAAAUGUAAAAUGGCUGGCUAAUUUUGAAAAUGAAUUUCUUCUCUGCUGCUCUUCUCAACCACAGAGACAGUCAUUUGAAUGCUUUACAGAAAAGGCCUCAAGCCUCCUCAGAUGUCACCUUUUCAUUGCACUGCUGAUCAUUUAGAGGGCAGACGUGUUCCAGACAGCUUUAAUUAAACUGUACUGAGGAUGCAGAUAGAUGUCAAUGGAAAUGAUCCGUAACAUGUAUUUAACAGUGUUCCAUCCAGUUCAAUCACCUUCUAGCAUUUCAGUGGAUUUACAUUCAUGUAGCAAAGACUGAAUGUGUAUAUGUAUUUUUUAAAAAUCUAUCUCAUUAGUGGCCAUAUGCUUCAGCUUCAAUGGAUACAAGAACUGUCUGCAAUCUGCCAGGGAUUUAGCAGCAUCAAUAAUUUGUGAAUAGUCAUGUUGGUACUGGUCGAAGGGUUAAGUGCUCUGCACUCCAGGGGCAUCUCUUUUGGGAUUUGAACCCUUAGUUGACUGUUAGGAACCUUAUCCCCUGUGAGGUUUCCUACUACAUGCUGCUUGUCAGAUGCAUCCAGCUGUAGCUGGGAAGCAUUAUUAGGUCUGGGAUUUAAAGAUCCGUGUUAAGUACUGAUAGAAUGGUGUCUUUGACUUAAAAAGCAGGGAGAGUAUACUGUGGCAAACUCAAGGAGGUUUUCAUGUUCCAUGUUAAGUAUGCGUCCUUUCCUUUUGCCUAUUCUUUCAUACACUCCUUGUGAAAAGAUUCCACAGCAUCCUUUUGAGAAACAGUUUAUAUUUAACAUUUCUUCCUAGAACUUCCUAGUAAAUUAGAUUGCAUCAGCCAAAGUUCAAACAUAAACGUCACCUUAAAAUAAGAGAAGGUGCCGGGUGCAGUGGCUCACGCCUGUAAUCCUAGUACUUUGGGAGGCCAGGGCAGGCAGAUGACUUGAGGUCAGUGGUUUGAGACCAGCCUGGCCAACAUGGUGAAACCCCAUCUCUACUAAAAAUACAAAAAAAUUAGCCAGGCCUGGUGGCGGACAUCUGUAAUCCCAGCUACUUGGGAGGCUGAGGCAGGAGAACCGCUUGACCUUGGGAGGCAGAGGUUGCAGUGAGCCGAGAUCGUGCCAUUGCACUCCAGCCUGGGUGACAGAGCAAGGCUCCAUCUCAAAAAAUAAAAAUGAAAAAUAAUAAGAGAAGUUUUGAUAUGAAAAGCAUUGCUUCUCAUUCCCCUACCCAGAGAGUGAAGAACAGGUAACAUGAAUGAUUUUUGAAGUUUAACUUAUGAUACUAGUCUUGAAUUAAGAUUUCUCAAAUGUAGUUGUUUUAAUACCAACAGCAACAAAGGUCAUAUAAAAGCUUUUACAGCAUGUGCUAGCCUGUUACUUCAUGUACGCAUAACCCUUGUCUGUCUUGUUCACUCUUAGAGGCUUUGCACUUGUCACAGUGCCUGGCAGAUAGUACUUAAUGAAUGUUGGAUGGAUGGGUGGAUGGCAGAAAGAGACAAAGGGAAAAAGAGAAAGAAUGAAGGAAAGAAAGAAGAAAACACUUGGAAAAAACAGUUUAGUUGAUCUGAUCUGCAUGCAAGUAUUUGCUCUCAGUAAUAUUUUCUAGAAGCUGUUCUAAGAGGAUCUGGGGGUGGAUGUUUAGCAUAAAACAUGUUUCAACAGUUUUAAUGGAUAUAGAUUUCUGAGACAACUUACAUUAUUAUGACCUGUUAGUAGUAGUAGCACUUAGUUCACUUGUUGAGUAAAGGAUGGGAACAAUUAUGUUGUGAUGACAGAUUUCCAUUAGGUUUUUUUUUUUCUGCCACAUAUCUAGACGUGACUUAGUUUUAAUGUACCUGAAUACUCCCAUAGUAAAGUGUAUUGUGAUUUCAUCAAGGAGGGCAAUAAUUAUUAAGCAGAGGAAUCUUUAGUCUUUCUCUCUUUGAAUAUCUAACUGAUCUUAAAAAUAAAGUGGCUUGUCUAUUUGCAGUUGAUUUUCUACAUGUGUUUGUUUCCAGUAAUUCCCGCCUUCUUACCCCGGAGUAGUUUAACCCAUCUCUUAAUUGUCCCUAGCUGAUGUCUAGAAGGUCUUUUUAAACUUCUUAACUGCACAAUGAGCCCUCAGUGGACACCUUGAUUGUGUUUGUUUGGGAAAAUGCCAAGCACUAAUGAGUAUUUUGUUUAAUGUAAUGGAAACUGAAAGUACAUGGCUUCUUCCCUGACUGAUCAAUGCCCACUUCUGUUGUUUGAAUGUAUCUAUACAUUCUAAAUUCAAAAAAGAAGUGUCACAAGAGGGCAGAGCACUUAGUGUCUGCCCAAGGAAGGACUUGAAGAUUCAGAAGUUUUGUUUAUUUGGGCCCGGUAUAGACAGACAGUACUGGAGUUAGUACUCUAGGGCCUCCUCCUCUGUGCUCAGAUAUGCAAUUUUUAUUAAACCCAAAGUCCAUAAUCUUAAACUUUUUCAUGUUAAUUUAACAAAAUAAUAAGGGAAUGAAUUAUGUUGUUGAAUUCUAAGCCAGGCAGUAUCUACUUCUAAGAAGUUACCCAUUUUUAUUUCAUCAUUAUUUUUUAUAAAAUAUUUGGUAUAUAUUAUAUUUACCUUAUUGUUUGCUUUUUCUGAAGUUCAAAUCACAAUGUGUCCAACAUAAAAUUUUCAGUAAAUAAUUAAAGCAUUAUUUCUUAGUUAAAUAAACAGUAGUAUUUGCAGAAAAAUGAAAUCUUAAGCAACUGAGUAGGCAAGCAUGAUCAAGUAUGUUUGAGUGAAGAGUAACGAUCUCCAUAUGGUGCUAACAUUCUACACAGGGACUAAGUGGAAAGUGUAGAAGAUGUUUCAUUGAACCAUAUCUAGCUGAAUUGAUACAGAGCUCCUUUCGGUAGUAUUUAUAAUUUAUAGACUUCUUUUUUUUAUUUUUUUUGAGACAGAGUUUCACUCUUGUUGCCCAGGCUGGAGUGCAAUGGCGCGAUCUCAGCUCACUGCAACCUUUACCUCCUGGGUUCAAGACAUUCUCCUGCCUCAGCUUCCUGAGUAGCUGGAAUUACAGGCAUCCACCACAAUGCCUGGCUAUUUUUUGUAUUUUUAGUAGAGACAGGGUUUCACCAUGUUGGCCAGGCUGGUCUCGAACUCCUGACCUCAGGUGAUCCACCCACCUCGGCCUCCCAGAGUGCUGGGAUUACAGGCGUGAGCCACCAUGCCUGGCCUAUAGACUUCUUGUAUGUGCUAGAUAAUUUUCACAAGAAAAGAUUUCCAACCAUUUAAAAUUUUAAAUGAGAUUUACCUUUCAUCCAAAAUUUCCUGGGUUUGGUGAUUUCAUUAAAGAUCUACGGAGAUGGUAAGAAAAGAAAGGUUUUGAAUCUAAAAAAUGGAAAUAAUUUAAUUCCUCAAAUUCAAAUUUAAUGACUCGCUUUCUCUUUAUUUCCAAGCCACCAUCUUGCUUGAUCACACAAUCACUUUCCUUUGGAGACUGGAAAUAUGCAAGCCUCCCCAAAUUACAGUUUAUAAUGGAAAGCUCCCCUGACCCUUAAUAAUUGUUACUUUGCUGAAACACUGUAAUACCUAAACUAAGUUGCUUAUUACACCAAACAUGAAGUCCUUUGACCCUUAGAGUUCAAUAUUGAUUAGCCCCACUUUUGUCAAUAUCACCUCUAAUGUCAACAGUUCAAUGUGAAAUAAAUUCAGUAAAGGAUAGUCUUCUUAAUCCACACACAUUAAAAAUGUUUAAUUCCUAUUCAUUACAAAUUUCACCCAGUUCAAGAAUUGUUUCUUCCAUAUUCUUAGUUAAUAAUUGGAGACUGGGCAACAUUGUGAGUAUGUGGUUAAAUGUCAUUACAAUAAGAGGUUAGCUGUAAGUUAACCUAUACCAAGGACCGGAUUCAUGAAAAGUCAUCUCUGAUAAAAUUACUCCAAAGGAAACUUGAAGCAAAUGUAUUACAAAUUCAUCAAACGUGGCUGAGAUAUUUUUUAAUCCUGAGAUCAUGGAGGGAAAUGCUUUUAAAAAGAAUAUUCAAGUGCUUGCUUUGCCCUUGGAUAAUGCAAUAGAAGCUUGUGGUAUUUUUCAGAUUGUCAAAUGUGUAUCAAAGAGUUAUUCUCUUGGCAAAUUCCAUGAAUUUCAGUUCCAUUUCUUGACAAUUUAAAAUUUGAUUAUCCAAUUAUAACUAAAGAUCAUUAGUCUAAUGUGGCAACUUCAUGACAGUUUUAGUUACAAGAGAAGUUCUCAGUUUAGAGAGGAAACUGCCAUAUGAGAAAUUUUUAUUGAACUUGUAAGUUGAACAGUAUUGUGGAAAGAAUUUUGUUUUCUUCUUGUGGUUUUAUUAUUUAUUAAUAAAAAAUAUAUACUUUUUCCCCUGCCCCAUGUUUAUAAGGUGCCAUAUCAUAUGCCUCACCUCUCUGAUUGACAUCAUCAAAUUAACAGCAAGUGCCCUCUGAUAUUGCUGAUUUUUGUCAUCAUUAGAUUUUGUCUUAAAUGUUUAUUUAGAGUUCCAUUUCUUUGUUUUAUUUUUAAUAACCAUAACCUGAAUAUCAUUUUCAGAACUAGAGAAAGGCAUUUUCAUUUCAAUCAUAUUAUAAGUAGAAUUUCUGCUAAAAUGAAAAACCAGAAAAAUUGAGGACAUGGCAAAUAUUUUAACAUUAGUUUUAUUUGAUGUGAUAAUGGAAAAUUCCUCAAGCAAAACAUACCACAGGACCAGACAAAAUGGGUGCUGAGUGUCAGAAAGAUAGGAGAAUCUUUAUCCACAUCUCACCCCCAAAGAAAUCAACUUUGCAGUGGUAGAUGAGUUUGUGGAACAGCUGUUGAUUGUGUACCUGCUCUGUUCAAGAUCAACAGUGAAAACUUAUUGUUUUUCGAUUUUGGAAUCUUAAGAGUUGCAGACACUGCUGGAAGCACAGAUGGACAAGAUGGCAUCUGCGCUGCUUCUGGUAUCUGUGACCCAUUUACCCAGAGGAGAAAUUAUCCAUGCAGCAUGCUGGUUUAACAUUUCGAUCAACAAACAACAACUCCACCACCCAGCUUGAGGAGUGAGAUCUUCACUCUAACUGUUCUCAGCACAGUCUCCUGGUGCAAAGCUGGACUAAGAAUUUUAACAUUACACUUUGCACCUCUUUUAUUCAAUGGUAAGACCCAAAAUAAACCUUUCUGCCUAGGUAUGAACAUCUCUUUUGCUUCAAAGGUUCGAAAGUAUUCUCUGUCAACACAAACUCCCUGACCUCCAUGCUUAGAGCUGCGUAAAAGUUAACUUCUUCUGAGCCACUUGUUGAAACUUGUAAAUGAACUGACUUUUCUGCAGUUGUGACUUAUCAAUUACAUCAGCAUUAUCAUUUCUUGCCCACUGGCAGAGGAGUUAUAGUUGUAGAUGGGAGUCUUAUCGGGCAUUCGGUAUGACUUCCUUGUCAACUCACUUCAUUCCAUGUGGAAAGAGACAGGUGUACACUAGAGCUUUCAAAAUCUAUUUAGAGACCCAGCAUCUAGCAGAAAAUAAUUUUUUUCUAUACAGCACUUUGUUGUUUUUACCCACUAUUGUGCUAUGCAUGCAUUGUAGCGCAUUACCUUACUUAAUCUUCUUGGUAAUUCUCUAAGGUACAAGGAGAUUAAAACUGACUUGGGCAAGGACAUUACAAACUGGAGAGCCAGGACUUGAACCUCGGUAAUCUGACACCAAAGUUCUUAUUCCUAACCACUUCAUUUAUACUGAUACUCUAAGAAUUUCCUUUCUAUAACUAAAAUUAUGUAUUAAAUUUUUUACAUUUAUUAGAAGAAUAAAUUCUAAAAAUAUAAAAACUAACUCUUGGCCAAUAUGGAAGCAUUUUAUUAGUGUACUGAAGAUAGAAUUUGAGAUCAGAGGCGGGGUACAUUUACUUCUAAUUUACGAGUUGGUACAUGGGAGCAGAAAAUGUGGUAAUAAGAGUUUUUCUGCCUUUUUAGACAUUCAGCCCAUUUUUUCACCAGAUUAUUGGUGAGAUGCAUGUUCUGUAGUGUUACAGCUUACCCACCAUAGUCAAAAUGUUCUGUAGAGCUAUUUAAGUAGAUGUGAUGAGGGUUUGUUUUAAGUAAAGGGUGAAUGUGACUUUCAUUAUUCUCUGUGAUAUAUAAACAUGAAUUAAUAAAGGUUUCUCUUGAAACUUGUUCAAGAAUUGGCAUGCAUUUCCAAUUAAUCUCAUAACUUAUAUUUAACUGUUUGGCUGUGCUCCAUAAUUGAUGGAUGUUAUUUUAAUUCAGAUACAGAGAGGGAGAGAAUGCCCAGACUAGACAACAGGGUAUAUGUCAACUUUUAGACACAUUUUACUCUCCCAAUUAAUCUAUGUUUUGGGCCCAUCACACUUUGGCUCACAAGACCUCUGUAAAUGACCAUUAUUGUCAGUUCUUAACAAAUUGCUAAAAUGACUUUUCCUAAAAGAUCCAUCAUAUUGGUGACAAACCUUGCACAGGGUAGGACAUCCAGGUUACUGAUUAGCUUUCAAGAAUGGACUCAAUGGAAAAUCAGUUAAAUCUUCAGAAAAGAUGGACUUAAAGGAGCAUUUGGCUGAUGGAACCCAGUAGGCUGGGAGAGACAGCACUUGAAGUCUGGGUAAAGGUAUGAAGAUGAAAGUGAGAAAAACAGAUAAAAUCAGAAAGUAAAGAACUAUUGAGAGAAUAAAACAUAUAUAUACUUUUCUUCUUCAUUGUCUAUAAGGUAAAGUCCAGGUCCCUUCACACAGCAUUCGAGGCCCUUCACAAAUUGAUGCCGACCAUUUCUCAACCUUAUCCCCUAGCACUGUCCCCUCUGUUUCAUGUCCUGCUGGCACAGUGUGUGCUCUUCCCAGGAACACGGCACACUCAUGUAAUAGUGCCGCUGAACUUGCUUUCUCCUCUGCCUUCACUUGAUUGACUUAGAAAAGUCUUCAUUUCUGAACCUUAAAUGUUACUUUCUUUUUAUGAAAACUUUGCAAACUCCUUCUUCCCCACCUCCACUCAUCACACCCAACAAGAAGUAAUUGCCUUUCCCCCACUCCCCAAGCUUCUUUCAGCAUCUUCCUUAUCAUGUUGACAUUUGCUAGGGGUCAAAAUGCAUACUUUACUCUUCUUGGUACUACCAAGCACCUAGCAUUCAAUCUGUUUUUACUCAACUACGUUCCUUUUUAACAUCCAGGUCACUUUCCACUCCCUAGCUCCUUCAUGAUAUGUCUUCCUCCCUCACUCUUAUUUUUAGAAUAAUAACAUUAUUCCAGUGCAACACAAUCACAUAAUAAUAAAGAUAACUAACAUUUGUAUAAUAAUACUUUAUAAAUUACCAAUAUUUUCAAAUCUGUAUUAGUUUUCUAGGGCUGCCACGACAAAAUACCACAAAUGGGGUGCCUUAAACAAUAGAAAUUUAUUUUCCCACAGUUCUGGAGGGUGGACGUCCAAGAUCAAGGUGCUGGCAGGUUUGGUUUCUUCUGAGGCCUCUCUCCUUGGCUUGUAGAUGGUUUCCUCUCAUUGUGUCCUCACAUGGUCACUCCUCAGUGUGUGGACUGUGUCCUGAUCUCCUCUUCUUAUAAGGAUAUCAAUCAUAUUGUAUUAAGGUCUACUCAUAUGACCUUAUUUUAUCUUAGUUACCUCUUUAAAGGUGCUAUCUCCAAGUACAGUCACAUUCUGAGGUACUGAGAGUCAGGACUUCAGCAUGUGCAUUUGGGACAGGGGUUGUGGGGAAAAGACACAAUUCAGCCCGUGAGUAUCCAUUAUCUCAUUUAUCCUCAUAAGCAAUAACUGCAGCCACUCUGUGCCCGUGCACUAUUUUCAUGGUGAACUUCUUCAAAAGACGGCUCUUCUGCACCUAACUUUACUUCUUCAGGCCUUCAUGAUCUAGACCUCAAGUCUAUUUAUUUUGGAAAGGGGCUUUGUUCCUUAAUGAGUGAAUACAACAGUGCAUCAAAAUUCUAGAGUUUCUUACAGAGUUUAAAUUGUCAAGAGCUGAGCCUCAUUGUCAGUAGAAGAAGAAGAAGAAAGUGCUCCUUCCCUAGCACUGAGAAAACAGGAAAACUAAAUUCGUAAGCAAAACUUGUUUUUUGCAGUCAUUCAAAGCCUAAGUAAGGCAUUUAAAGGUGCAUAUGUUGGGCAUUUCAACUGGAAAAAUGCUAGCCUAGUUAAGAAUGGAAACGGGUACCUACUGCCUUGUACGUCUGCCUAUUUUCUGACCCCAGGGCCCGCAAAGCACCCAUUGAUGUGAAUGGCUCCUUUCAUAUGAAAAAAACAGUGAGGCUGGUCUCGAACUCCCAACCUCAGAUGAACUGCCUGCCUUGGCCUCCCAAAGUGCUAGGAUUACAGGCAUGAGCAACCGCGCCUGGCCUUUCAAAAGGAUCUUAAUCCCAGGCCAAUGUGGGGAGCACUGUAUAUACUACAGUAUGACUGAGAGUUGUUUUAGAGCCCUGCAAAGUUCCCUUGUUAGCAUUUUAGUCAGGGGUAUGAAGACACUGUGCACUGCAAGACUCAACCCAUUUCUGAUCCCUUUCUCAUGAAUCACUCUGAUACUAUACCCAGAAAAAGCCAUCACAUGCCAUCUAAUGCAUUUCAGGACUGCAUCUGAGCUGCAAGCGGAAGACACAGUAGAUGUGACAUUGACUGUGAACUGCACAUGAAGCAAGUGCAACCUCAGGCCUGCCUUGCUUCAGAAGUUAAAAAUAUUUCGGAGGCAAUAAGGAGCGCACAAACCAUAGUUCCGGUUCUUCCUUUCCACUGGAGAUCCACGCAACCCGGGCAGAGGAAGAGAUUGUUUCUCCCAAGCCUUGGAGCUCAUUCGAGGAGAGACUUGGAGACUUUGUGAGGGAAAGACACAGGGAAACGCUGCCGGCAUUUUCCCAAACCUGGACUGGGAGCAGGACAACACUGGGGGAUCUUCCCUAUCUGGUUCAACCCAUCUUGUGCCCCCAAUCCCCCUACCCCUACAUUUUCUAUUUGAUGUUUUGGGGGAAUUUUUUUAUUUUUGCCGCUUUCCUUAGUUUCUGUCUCCAUUACAACAUCCUAACACUCUAAUUGGCUUUGUAUGGGACAAACAGGAAGUAUUGCUUCUGGCAGGAUGGGAUUUUCUGUCCUGUUGAUUGAUGGAUUAAUUUUUAUUGAGCACGGUGUGCUACCAGCGGAACCAAAAAUCCAAGAUACAAUUCCAGCUCUAGGAGUCUAUGUUCUAAUAAAAGUAAGAACAACAUAUUCAAACAUCCCUGUUUCUUUUUCUCGUCAGUUUCCCUUCUACUGAGACAACUACACAGAUAAUUUAGGACCCCAAAACAUGCUAUUAAAAAAGGACCUGACUGGACCAGACAGCUGGGUGGGGGCAGUGGUUUCAUCUGAAGAGCUUCAGUCAUCAUAUUGGCUGAGUGGCUGCUCGGUGCUGGACUUUAAAAGAGUUAAACAUUUUUCCAGAUUUUUUUGGUUACAUUCUUAUGUCAAGUUAGAUUAAACAAAGUUACAGUCUUGAACUAUGCAGUAGUUUAAACCCAUACAGAAAUCUCUUCACUAAAAUACAACACAAUACUAUAUGGCUCAAUUUCAUGAAGGGCUAACGAUUUUAUAUAGUCAUAUUAAGAAUGUUUCAUUGUCUCUUCAUGUCUGUGAUAUAAGGAUCCAGAUCAUUUUUUUCAUAAAUUAGCAUCCCCCCAAAGAAGUCUCCUUUCCCUAACUAUUCUCUCUUAAUCAAGCACCGAAAGCCAGGAAACCCAGGUAAUAGAUAUUUUCCUAUUUCCUCAGAGCAAAUUUUCGUGCUCAAAUGAAAAAACUGUUUCAUCUUUGGAUCAGUUACAAUAUUUCUGAACCACUAUUUCCUCAUCUAUAAGAUAAAGAAUAUUGGAGAUGAUCAUUUUGUUUCCUUCCAGCUCUGAACCACCCCAACAGACACAAACUUUCUUGUGUGAUUUCUGAUUUCAUUUGCAACCUUACUCAAUUCCAGUAGAAGCUGCAUAGGAGCAGGGUCUAUGUCCAUCUUGUUCAGGUAUAGGCCUAGCUCCUAGCACAUGAAAGUAGGGCAGUUAAUAUAAUUUGAAUGAAUAAAUUAUGUUCCAAGCGA